AGGCAGAAGCCAACACGAACCUGACAGCUUUCUGCUUCUCUGCUGCCACAGCUGGAAGGGAACCUGCCCCACCGCCUUCUUCCUCCCCGGAACCGCUGCCCAGCCUCCAAAGCUCACCCCGCUGCGGGUGCUCACGCCCAUUCCCCAGCGCUAGUGAAUAACUUCAGGAAUGGAACUGGCUACACAAACAGGCUCAGGAAGAAGAGACAGCAGCAGCCACCCCCACUCAGGACUGAUUUAUCUUCCUCUUCUCUGGGGAGUGCCACUCAACUUCCCAGACCUUCCUCUCGGUUAUUCAGCAGUUUCUGGGGUGAGAAGGUCCAAGUCUCCCUCUUGUACAAACUCUUCUUCUCAAAUGGAACCUCCCUUGAAAAAAAUCAAGAAGGAGUAGCCAGCCUUUCUUUGUUCAUGUUUCUGGUUCAUGUUUGUCUUUGCUUCUAGAACAUUUGUGAAUUUUUGACUUGUUGUUUUCACAUAAAGCCCAUAG